rnacentral:rRNA from 1 species
UGCGGUGAUCUUACAGAUAUGGUCCACCUGUUCCCAUCCCGAACACAGAAGUUAAGCAUAUCGUGGGCGACAAUAGUGCGGCGUCAGGCCGUGUGAAGAUAGCAAGUCGCCGCAU